UGGUGGAGUGAUUUGUCUGGUUAAUUCCGUUAACGAACGAGACCUCAGCCUACUAAAUAGUGUUGCGUAUCGCGAGAUACGUAUUUGAUACUUCUUAGAGGGACAUUUCGGGUUUACCGGAAGGAAGUUUGAGGCAAUAACA
rnacentral:rRNA from 1 species